rfam:Cricetulus griseus cell line CHO-K1, whole genome shotgun sequence.
CCUUCGAUAGCUCAGUUGGUAGAGCGGAGGACUGUAGUGGAGUUUCUCAUCUUUGAGAUAUCCUUAGGUCGCUGGUUCGAAUCCGGCUCGAAGGA